CAAAAAAUAAGCAAUGGAAAGAAAUUUUUUAAUUUAUAAGUUAACCCUAAAUCUCCUCCCACCCAUCUGCCCCUUCACUCAUCCCUUCACUGCAACUCUUGCGGCGGCUGAUUCCUUCCCGAUCGGCUGCGGCACAGGUUUCAAUUUGGCAUGAUCUCAGUGUAGUUGAAGACAACUGUAUUUGUUCACGUCUUUUCGGUAAAAUGCAGAAUGAGCGAAGUUGGAUGUAUAACAAGAAUUCAAGUAUAAUGCAGAAUGAGGAAGAGGAGGAGGAGGAGGAGGAGGAUGAUGAUAAUCAUAAUGAUGAC